GCCCGCAUGUAGUAGUGGUUAACUUAUCGGCCUCCGACUAUACAGUAGGACAGCCGAUAGCCGAGUACCCGGGUUCGAAUCCCGGUGUGGGCU